CGGGUGAGUAAAAUGUUAGUACAUACCCAUUAGUAGGGAAUAAAGCAAUGAAAAUUACCUUAAAACCCUAUAAUAAUCUGAAAUAAAUCGGAUUGAAAAGUAGUUUGCUAACGGAUUGGCUAGCACCAGAUUAGCUAGUUGUUGUUGUAAAAGAUCAACAAGGCGAUGAUCUGUAGUUGUUCUGAAAGGAAGUACAACCACACUGGGACUGAGAAAGGCCCAGACUCCUACGGGAGGCAGCAGUGAGGAAUUUUGGACAAUGAGCGAAAGCUUGAUCCAGCAAUACCACGUGUGCGAAGAAGGUUUACUGUAAAGCACUUUUCUAGGUGACUAAAGCCAAUGAAUUUAUCCUAGGAAUAAGCACCGGCUAAUUACGUGCCAGCAGCCGCGGUAAUACGUAAGGUGCGAGCGUUAAUCGGUUUUAUUAGGCGUAAAGCGUGUGUAGGCUGGAGGUUGUGAAGAUUGUAAAAUAAUAAGGCUCAACCUUAUGUAGCUCUCUUUACUAACUUCCUAGAAGAUAGGUGAGGGUAACGGAAUUCUGUAAGUAGCAGUGAAAUGCGUAAAUAUACAGAGGAACACCGAAAGCGAAGGCAGUUACCUUAUCUUGAUUGACGCUGAUACACUAAAGCGUGGGGAGCAAACAGGAUUAGAUACCCUGGUAGUCCACGCCCUAAACGUUGUCAACUAACUGUUGGAGCUAGUGGUGAAGCUAACGCAUUAAGUUGACCGCCUGGGGACUACGAUCGCAAGAUUAAAACUCAAAGGAAUUGACGGGGACCCGCACAAGCGGUGGAUGAUGUGGAUUAAUUCGAUGCAACACGAAGAACCUUACCUACCCUUGACAUGUAUAGAAUUUACUUGAGAAAGUAAAGUGCCUAUAACACAGGUGCUGCAUGGCUGUCGUCAGCUCGUGUCGUGAGAUGUUGGGUUAAGUCCUAUAACGAGCGAAACCCUUUUCUCAUAUUGCUAAAGCACUUUUGAGGUACUGCCAAUGACAAAAUUGGAGGAAGGAAAGGACGACGUCAAGUCCUCAUGGCCCUUAUGGGUAGGGCUUCACACGUCAUACAAUGGUUAUUACAAAGAGAAGCAAACCCGCGAGGGAGAGCAAAUCUUUAAAAAUAAUCUCAGUCCGGAUUGCACUCUGAAACUCGAGUGCAUGAAGUAGGAAUCGCUAGUAAUCGUAGAUCAGAAUGCUACGGUGAAUACGUUCUCGGGUCUUGUACACACCGCCCGUCACACCAUGGGAAUAUAUUUUGCCGGAAUUAAUCUUU
rnacentral:rRNA from 1 species